UACGUAGGGUGCGAGCGUUAAUCGGAAUUACUGGGCGUAAAGCGUGCGCAGGCGGUCUGUUAAGACCGAUGUGAAAUCUAUGGGCUCAACCCAUAGUCUGCACCGGAAACUGUCGGGCUUGAGUAUGGGAGAGGUGAGUGGAAUUUCCGGUGUAGCGGUGAAAUGCGUAGAUAUCGGAAGGAACACCUGUGGCGAAAGCGGCUCACUGGACCAUUACUGACGCUGAUGCACGAAAGCUAGGGGAGCAAACAGG
rnacentral:rRNA from 1 species